rnacentral:misc_RNA from 1 species
UCAGAUCUACGCCCGAGGCAC